rnacentral:rRNA from 1 species
UGGGGAAUAUUGGACAAUGGGCGCAAGCCUGAUCCAGCAAUGCCGCGUGUGUGAAGAAGUCUUCGGAUUGUAAAGCACUUUCGGCGGGGACGAUGAUGACGGUACCCGCAGAAGAAGCCCCGGCUAACUUCGUGC